ACCGGGGGGGGGGGGCGCGGUGAGAAGAAGAGCGACCGCCAAACGGUCCCCGACGUCCGCGCUGUGCACUUCUCUCUCACACAGACAGAAGGGAGACGGCCGGCGCACCCGGCAUAACUGCGCACGCGCACCCGUGUGAGCCCGGAGCCACUUUGGAAGGGCGGUAUAAAAAUUGAAUGAAGAAAGAAAGAAAGAAAGAAAGAAAGAAAGAAAGAAAGAAAGAAAGAAAGAAAGAAGAAAAUGGAGUUGUUUCUGAAUAAAGCUUAGUUAACGAACAUAA